GUGAACGCUGGCGGUAGGCCUAACACAUGCAAGUCGAACGGCAGCACAGUAGGAGCUUGCUCUUACGGGUGGCGAGUGGCGGACGGGUGAGGAAUACAUCGGAAUCUACUUUUUCGUGGGGGAUAACGUAGGGAAACUUACGCUAAUACCGCAUACGACCUACGGGUGAAAGCAGGGGAUCUUCGGACCUUGCGCGAUUGAAUGAGCCGAUGUCGGAUUAGCUAGUUGGCGGGGUAAAGGCCCACCAAGGCGACGAUCCGUAGCUGGUCUGAGAGGAUGAUCAGCCACACUGGAACUGAGACACGGUCCAGACUCCUACGGGAGGCAGCAGUGGGGAAUAUUGGACAAUGGGCGCAAGCCUGAUCCAGCCAUACCGCGUGGGUGAAGAAGGCCUUCGGGUUGUAAAGCCCUUUUGUUGGGAAAGAAGAGCAGCAGGUUAAUACCCCGCUGUUCUGACGGUACCCAAAGAAUAAGCACCGGCUAACUUCGUG
rnacentral:rRNA from 1 species